rnacentral:ncRNA from 2 species
CGAUGAGGUAGAGGUUGCAAUAAUUAAUAGUAAUGUACUUGAAACCUAAUGGGGUUGUUGAUGGUAUGUUGAAAGGAAUUGUUGCCGAAGUACGAGAGAUCCAUUUCAUCUUUCUUACUGGGUUUACAUCAAAUAGGUGUAAAACUGUCACAGAUAUUUUCUGUGGAGAGCUACGAUGAGA